UACGUAGGGGGCAAGCGUUGUCCGGAUUUAUUGGGCGUAAAGAGCGUGUAGGCGGCCAGGUAGGUCUGCUGUGAAAACUCGAGGCUCAACCUCGAGACGUCGGCGGAAACCAUCUGGCUAGAGUCCGGAAGAGGAGAGUGGAAUUCCUGGUGUAGCGGUGAAAUGCGCAGAUAUCGGGAGGAACACCAGUGGCGAAGGCGGUUGCCUGGGGCUUUGCUGACGCUGAUGCGCGAAAGCGUGGGGAGCGAGUCCGG
rnacentral:rRNA from 1 species